UGCUUGCAAGCUAUCGCCCAAAGAUGGACACGCGGUCUAUUAGCUAGUUGGUGAGGUAACGGCUCACCAAGGCAACGAUGGAUAGCUGGCCUGAGAGGGUGGUCGGCCAUACUGGGAUUGAGAUACGGCCCAGACUCCUACGGGAGGCAGCAAAUCGGAAUAAUCGACAAUGGGAGAAAUCCUGAUCGGGCGACGCCGCGUGAGCGAUAAGGCCUUCGGGUUGUAAAGCUCUGUGUUAUGGGAAGAAAUCUGCCAGGUGGAUAAUCUGUCAGUCUGACGGUACCAUGAUAGAAAGCCCCGGCUAACUACGUGCCAGCAGCCGCGGUAAUACGUAGGGGGCAAGCGUUGUUCGGAAUUACUGGGCGUAAAGGGCGUACAGGCGGUUAUAUAAGUCAGAUGUGAAAUCCUUAGGCUUAACCUAAGACUUGCAUUUGAUACUGCAUAACUUGAGAUCAGGAGAGGAGAGUGGAAUAUGUGGUGUAGCGGUGAAGUGCGUAGAGAUCACAUAGAACACCGGUGGCGAAGGCGGCUCUCUGGCCUGAUUCUGACGCUGACGCGCGAAAGCUAGGGUAGCGAACGGGAUUAGAUACCCCGGUAGUCCUAGCCGUAAACGAUGGGUACUAAGUGUAGGAGGUCAUUGACCCCUUCUGUGCUGUAGCUAACGCAUUAAGUACCCCGCCUGGGGACUACGACCGCAAGGUUAAAACUCAAAGUAAUUGACGGGGCCCCGCACAAGCGGUGGAGCAUGUCGCUUAAUCCGAAGCAACGCGAAGAACCUUAUCCAGUGGCUUGACAUCCUCUGACAACCGUGGAAACACGGCUUUCCCUUCGGGGACAGAGUGACAGGUGCUGCAUGGCAGUCGUCAGCUCGUGUCGUGAGAUGUUGGGUUAAGUCCCGCAACGAGCGCAACCCCUAUCUCUAGUUGCCAGCGCGUAAUGGCGGGGACUCUAGAGAGACUGCCGGUGAUAAACCGGAGGAAGGUGGGGAUGACGUCAUGUCCUCAUGGCCCUUAUGCCCUGGGCUGCACACGUGCUACAAUGGUCGGUACAACGGGUCGUGAAACCGUGAGGUGGAACCAAUCCCUAAAAGCCGGUCCCAGUUGGGAUUGUAGUCUGCAACUCGACUACAUGAACGUGGAAUCGCUAGUAAUCGCGAAUCAGCAGGUCGCGGUGAAUACGUUCCCGGGGCUUGUACACACCGCCCGU
rnacentral:rRNA from 1 species